UACGUAGGGGGCUAGCGUUGUCCGGAAUCAUUGGGCGUGAAGAGCGUGUAGGCGGCCCGGUAAGUCCGCUGUGAAAGUCGGGGGGCUCAACCCUCGAAUGCCGGUGGAUACUGUCGGGCUAGAGUGCGGAAGAGGCGAGUGGAAUUCCUGGUGUAGCGGUGAAAUGCGCAGAUAUCAGGAGGAACACCGAUUGCGAAGGCAGCUCGCUGGGACGUCAGCUGACGCUGAGACGCGAAAGCGUGGGGAGCAAACAG
rnacentral:rRNA from 1 species